GUGGGGAAUCUUGCGCAAUGGGCGAAAGCCUGACGCAGCCAUGCCGCGUGAAUGAUGAAGGUCUUAGGAUUGUAAAAUUCUUUCACCGGGGACGAUAAUGACGGUACCCGGAGAAGAAGCCCCGGCUAACUUCGUGCCAGCAGCCGCGGUAAUACGAAGGGGGCUAGUGUUGCUCGGAAUUACUGGGCGUAAAGGGCGCGUAGGCGGACAGUUUAGUCAGAGGUGAAAGCCCAGGGCUCAACCUUGGAAUUGCCUUUGAUACUGGCUGUCUUGAGUACGGGAGAGGUGAGUGGAACUCCGAGUGUAGAGGUGAAAUUCGUAGAUAUUCGGAAGAACACCAGUGGCGAAGGCGACUCACUGGCCCAAUACUGACGCUGAGGCGCGAAAGCGUGGGGAGCAAACAGGAUUAGAAACCCGGGUAGUCC
rnacentral:rRNA from 1 species